UGUUCUCCCUGCUGGCCAUCGUCAUUCUCCUCUGCUCGUUUUCAUUCAGGUUUGUGCUCGGUAGUUUAGUUGUUUUCCAGUCUAGUUUAGUUCGAGCUCCAUUUGCUGUUUGUCCAUAUUUAUUUCGUGUUCAAUAAACCACCUUUGCAUCUUCACGACUGCCUGCAAUUGGAUCCUCAUUUAUUAUUUUCACACGGCUUAUCUCACUCGCUGUGACAAAAGGUAUUAUCACCAUCAUCAUUACCUGUGUUGGCCGCAAAAUACCCUGGAACAAUUUCAAUUUUCAAGUGCACCUUCUUCCUGGAGGGGUUCAGCUACAUUAGUUACUAUUGUAACUAAUGUAGCUUGUGGGAGAUUGAGGGAAUGGUUACCUCUAAAGAAGCAUAAGAUCUACUGACCGCACCAGGUCAUACCCGGAGAUCCUCGAGCAAUGGUUUGUUGUCUUUUUCCACGGCCUGGGGGAAAAGAAGGGGACAGAGUUUGCAAUCAGACCUCAGAAGCGCUGUAUCAGCCUACAAAUUAAGAAAUUAGGAUGGCAGUCAGUUGCUUUAUUUAGGUCAUGUCUUUUAUAAAAAGCUUUCCAUGAUUUUGACUUUCUUUUUUUCUUUUUUUUGUCAUUUUGUUUCAUUCUGCCUCACCUGUAAAACACUUUGCAAUGGUUUUACAUUUAAAUUGUAUGACAAAGCGAAGAACCUGAAAUUAUUUCAUAAUGGACAUGCAGCUAUGACCUCCUUCACACCGAAGUAAUCACUUUUUGUUGGUCACUUGAAUGUGUUGUUUACACGUCUUUGGAGGGUUGAUAGAAAAACAAGCAAUGCCAUUCACCAAAAUAAUAUCAAUUUUAUGUUUACUAUUAAAGCUAUCGCGGUUUACAAUGGAAAUUAAAACGUAAAUCAUAUCAUCAGUUUAAAUUCUCUCAUUUGCAGAAUGAGCAAUGAUGCUAAUAAACUUACUGACUAAUGAACAUCUGAAGAUUUCAUUUCUGAUUAUUUGAUAUGCGUGGAGGAUUUAUCUGUCUUUGCAAAAAGCUCAUGAGACCCAGCGCAUGGCUAAACCCUCAGUCUUAAGUAGUGCACAUGUAUUUUUUUUUUUUCUACUA